UUAGUUGCGGUCUAAUCAUGCAAGUCGAGCGAACUGAUUAGAAGCUUGCUUCUAUGACGUUAGCGGCGGACGGGUGAGUAACACGUGGGCAACCUGCCUGUAAGACUGGGAUAACUUCGGGAAACCGAAGCUAAUACCGGAUAGGAUCUUCUCCUUCAUGGGAGAUGAUUGAAAGAUGGUUUCGGCUAUCACUUACAGAUGGGCCCGCGGUGCAUUAGCUAGUUGGUGAGGUAACGGCUCACCAAGGCAACGAUGCAUAGCCGACCUGAGAGGGUGAUCGGCCACACUGGGACUGAGACACGGCCCAGACUCCUACGGGAGGCAGCAGUAGGGAAUCUUCCGCAAUGGACGAAAGUCUGACGGAGCAACGCCGCGUGAGUGAUGAAGGCUUUCGGGUCGUAAAACUCUGUUGUUAGGGAAGAACAAGUACGAGAGUAACUGCUCGUACCUUGACGGUACCUAACCAGAAAGCCACGGCUAACUACGUGCCAGCAGCCGCGGUAAUACGUAGGUGGCAAGCGUUAUCCGGAAUUAUUGGGCGUAAAGCGCGCGCAGGCGGUUUCUUAAGUCUGAUGUGAAAGCCCACGGCUCAACCGUGGAGGGUCAUUGGAAACUGGGGAACUUGAGUGCAGAAGAGAAAAGCGGAAUUCCACGUGUAGCGGUGAAAUGCGUAGAGAUGUGGAGGAACACCAGUGGCGAAGGCGGCUUUUUGGUCUGUAACUGACGCUGAGGCGCGAAAGCGUGGGGAGCAAACAGGAUUAGAUACCCUGGUAGUCCACGCCGUAAACGAUGAGUGCUAAGUGUUAGAGGGUUUCCGCCCUUUAGUGCUGCAGCUAACGCAUUAAGCACUCCGCCUGGGGAGUACGGUCGCAAGACUGAAACUCAAAGGAAUUGACGGGGGCCCGCACAAGCGGUGGAGCAUGUGGGUUUAAUUCGAAGCAACGCGAGAACCUUACCAGGUCUUGACAUCCUCUGACACUCUAGAGAUAGAGCGUUCCCCUUCGGGGGACAGAGUGACAGGUGGUGC
rnacentral:rRNA from 2 species